UGUGGAUCGAACUUCAUCUUCCUCCGCUGAAACUCCGGCCACUUAUCACCGAAGUGCUCCGCCCACUCCUCCUCCAUCGUGUAGUGAGGCAGCAACGCCACGAGGUAGAAGACAUCGUCCUCUGGGGUCACGGCAGAGCUCCUCGGGUCCCAUCUACACAACAAAAGAGUGGAACCAAGUGUCAUCAAGAGAGGUAUGGACCCUGGACUUGAUAAUUCUAAGAUGUAGUGAAAUAAUGUCUCCAUUACAACACUGCAAAGUUGAGUACGUCAACUGGGACGAUGGUAACAUCCCCAUCGGACCCCAUCGGACCCCAUCGGAGGGGUCCAACGGAGAAGAUCUCCUGACACCAGAAUCUUCUCCCAUGGGACAAUCACCACCCUCCAAGCUGGCUAAGCUUGUACUUUGUGGAAUUUUUAAAGAAAAAUUACAUAUUCUUUUUAAAACCCGAGUCGGCUUUACGGUAAAUAAGAUUUUUGAGGUUAGAGAUUCAAACAAUUGGAUGUCAUUUUCGCGGACUUCUUAACCUACAAAUGAGAAAAAAAAAAAAGGAAUAAAAAAGAAUAGGGAACAUACUUAUGCUUGUUCAUGGGGUAGAUGAGGAUGGGUCCACUGGUAUUAUUUCCCAAAAUGCCCUUGAAAACACCUCGAUCAAAAUCAGCAAUUCUCGACUUCGGAACAAAGAGAUUCAGCCAUGGAUGCGGGACAUCCCACAGCCCCUUGGAUUGGAGCUUCAACUCGGCCGUAUGAACCCGGUCGAGAAAGUCCACAUAACCUAGGUCUGUUGUGAAAACCGACUCGGGUAUGUAGUCGAGUUCCUUCAGCAGCGCCUCAACUUCCUGAUUAAACAAAGUAGUUUCGUCAGCUACUAUAUUUUAUUCCAAUCACUGUUAACAAGAGAAUAAUUUGGGAGCUGAAAGGCUGUGGAUUUAGUGUUAUUAUUAUCCUUAAAGCUAUGUUCUUUCUC